AGCGGGUCAAGUCUUCGAAUUGUUGCUAACCUCUAGCUAUAUUGCUAUGUUUUCUCCAGGUUAUUUUGAAUGGACAGCUUUGUCGCUGAUAAGCUAACUGACUGGCGGCUGUCUGAGCUGACAGAGAAUUUUAGAGGCCAUCCACAAACAUAAAAGAGGCCCUGGCGCUAUCAUUGGUUCAGACAUUCCCUGAAUGAUGGAUCAGAAAUUGGCUAUUUCCAGAGACUCCAGAAUGAAAACCAAGCUCUGAGGGAGGAGAACCACACCCUGAGGGAAAGCAAUGCACGAGCAGCGGCUCACUUCAAGAGCAGGUGAAGCAAGUUGGGACAAUGUUGAAGACGUUUGCUUGCACUUGGCAAUCAGGUGCAGAUCAGAUCCUAAUGCUGCGACGUCUUGGAGAGUUUGGCGAUGUUGUGCGUAGCAUGGACAACAAAAUGGAAACUAUGCAGCAACAUUUCAGUGCCAAUGUGUCUGUUGGAGAGCCACUGAUGAGGCGGUCCAGGUUAACGUUACGCGUUACCUGAAAGCAUCUGACCGUGAAGGCGGAAAAAGGCGCCGCACAGCUGAGAGGGACCCACAGCCGACCCCUUAAACCUAGGCUGACUACUGACACCCCCGCAUCACUGACAACUGGAACACUUUCUUUAUCCUGCAGUCAGUAACAUCAAGAAGCCAGAA